rnacentral:misc_RNA from 1 species
CCGAUCUCACUUCGUGGUUGACGGUGAGGGUCUCUUUCUUGUUGAUUUAUAUUUCUCAUCAAUUUCGACGAUCAGAACCGUCUUUGUUGUCAAGUUAAGGGCUGCUUUAAAUUGGGUUGUAGUGUUUAUGUUUCUCUUCGAUUGCUUACAGUUAUGGUCAAUUCAUUUUUCGUCUUGUUCUAGCUUUUUAGAUUCGUCGGUGUGAAGUGUACUUGCUGUAGAGGUGUCUAUUAGACCUUUCCAAUAUUUACCAUGGAUUGGGCGAGCGUUUCGAGACGAAACGUAUUUGAUUUGCAGGUUUUCUCUUGCAAGGAGGUGAUCAGUUUUAGCUAUGCAGAUCGCUAUUCUGCCUAACGAGUAUCCGUAGAGAAUCAAGAACUUCAGGGAAAGUUAGGUUUUUCUGGUUUUUCUCUGAUUACAAAAAUCGACGGUGUGAAUUUCGGUUCCUACAGUCAUGAUUAUGCGGGAUGCUUCAACUUCAAGUUACUCUUGUCUGCCAUUUUACCUUGUUCAUCAAACAAAAUCAGUUUAAAAAGAACAAGAUUAUAUGAACUAAAGGAACAUCGAUUACUUCAAAGAGUACACAACCGACACAAGCGAUUACUGUUUAUAUUCAAGACUUCAUUACAUUCAAUAAAAAAACUAAAUCAUUAGGUAGAUCCUCUCAUAUCUUAC